CAGGUGAGGUGGUGGGGGAGAGGAAGAAGUUGGGUGGGCAAAAGCCAUCUUUGAGUAGUAGUUCAGAUCUGCUGUGUUACUUCUGGGUUUCCUGUCAUCCAGCAGGAUAUGGGAUCACAAAUACGAAGGAGAGGCUGCAGGAGAUGGGUGUGGCUGGAAGAAAGUGGAAUGGUGCCUCAGUGGGGAGAAUCAGAAGGGGUGCCCAAAGGGGUCGGGAGCAAGGGAAGCACUUCAGGAAGCCACAGGGAAACCAUCCAGAAGAGAGAGGGGAACCCCUUGGUCUGCAGCACAGGCCAAAAGCCUCUUGAAGACCCUGAGGAGCAAGGAAGCGUGCCAGAAGAGAAGGCAGAACCCAAGGGGCACCGGGGACUUCCAACACCUUUCCUUUCAGCAGGCUUCUCCACUGGAAUCUGCAGCUGAAUGUGCCAGCUCCUUUGCACAGACUCCCACGUGCUUUCCUCAGGGAAGUCCCUGCACACAGGCAUGGAAGGUUUUUUUUCCUUUAAUCUUCUGUAGAAGUAACAAAGCAGAACAUGUAAGAUUUACAAUGAUGAGAGAAUGUAGUCCUAAACUGUCUGCCAAAUGCAAGCUGCCUCCACUGAAGUUUGUUUCCCAUGGAGGAUAACUGUACAAGAAGUGUUUACACACAGGUACAAAAUGAUAUAAAUAGAGACACAAUUAGAGUUGGCAGGAGAGAUGAGGGGAGAGACAAGGGAAAGGAAGCCUGAACAAUGGGAGGUUCCAAAAAGCAAUUGGGGAGGUGAGAGAUAGCUGAACGACCAAAGAGUAAAGGGAGGGAAGAUAUGCGGAGGGAGGGCAGGUUGUCUGAGGAGGGGGAGUGAGCAAACAACUUCAGGGUGCUUAGUUACCCCUGGGGUGAAAUUACAACACAUGUAGAUAGUUGUUGGAAGUUUGACUUCUGACAUCAGGUCUACUGGAAACACCUGAGGGAGUAGGGGGACGAAGUGCACUGUGUAAGAGAGGCGGAAUACUUGUAAUGCAGGUACCAUAUCAAGGUUUUUUUCUUGUGGUAUUAAAACAGCGACUGAAAAAAGUAUUUUGUUGUCGUGGGGGGGAAACGUGGGUUUAUUACAAGUGCUCAAUCACUUCA